rnacentral:rRNA from 1 species
UACAGAGGGUGCAAGCGUUGUUCGGAAUUAUUGGGCGUAAAGGGUGCGUAGGCGGUGCGGUAAGUCUGUAGUGAAAUCUCUGGGCUCAACUCAGAGUCUGCUAUAGAAACUGCCGUGCUUGAGUGUGGGAGAGGUGAGUGGAAUUCCCGGUGUAGCGGUGAAAUGCGUAGAUAUCGGAAGGAACACCAGUGGCGAAGGCGGCCACCUAGCCCGCACCUGACGCUGAGGCGCGACAGCGUGGGGAGCGAACUGG